rnacentral:rRNA from 1 species
AUGGCAACUAUGGUUGGACCACACCUGGAAACUAGAUGGCUGUUUUGUACUGUCACCAACGUAGUGUUUCUACUUAACUAUUUUGGUCUGACGCGACAUAUGCAUGUGAGUACAGCUUCGGCGUUGGGGAUGCGGACGCCGGUGGCCUACAAGGCGCGGCAGCGGGCGUCGCAGGAGGCGCUCGCGCGCAGCAUGAACUUCGCCGUCAGCGGUGUCGGGGUGCUCGACACCGGCAACUUCCAGCGCAACAUCAGCCCGCAGAUCGACCUCUUCCAGGCCAUGCACCACAGCCAGCAGCGGGACUGCAGCAAGCGUACUGUGCUCGUCGUCGUCUCGGGCAAUGACUACGCCUACGCUGCCGACAAGGACAACGGCACCAGCGCGGCGAUCGCUUACAUCCCGACGGUGGUGCGGGAGCUCCGGGAGCAGCUCCGGCGGCUGCGCAACGAGGUGGGGAUGCGCAGGGUGGUGCUGCGACCUGCUGGCCAACGCCGGCGCUGCCCAGCACAACGCUGCGCUCCGGUCGGUCCUCGGCACUGUUGA